rnacentral:rRNA from 1 species
UGGGGAAUCUUGGACAAUGGGGGCAACCCUGAUCCAGCCAUGCCGCGUGAGUGAUGAAGGCCUUAGGGUCGUAAAGCUCUUCGCCUGUGAAGAUAAUGACGGUAGCAGGUAAAGAAACCCCGGCUAACUCCGUGCCAGCAGCCGCGGUAAUACGGAGGGGGUUAGCGUUGUUCGGAAUUACUGGGCGUAAAGCGCACGUAGGCGGACCAGAAAGUUGGGGGUGAAAUCCCGGGGGCUCAACCCCGGAACUGCCUCCAAAACUAUUGGUCUAGAGUUCGAGAGAGGUGAGUGGAAUUCCAAGUGUAGAGGUGAAAUUCGUAGAUAUUUGGAGGAACACCAGUGGCGAAGGCGGCUCACUGGCUCGAUACUGACGCUGAGGUGCGAAAGUGUGGGGAGCAAACAGGAUUAGAUACCCU